UACGUAGGUGGCAAGCGUUGUCCGGAUUUAUUGGGUUUAAAGGGUGCGUAGGCGGUUCUAUAAGUCAGUGGUGAAAUACGGCAGCUCAACUGUCGAGGUGCCAUUGAUACUGUGGAACUUGAGUACAGACGAGGUAGGCGGAAUUUCCGGUGUAGCGGUGAAAUGCGUAGAUAUCGGAAGGAACACCAGUGGCGAAAGCGGCUUCCUGGUCCAGCACAGACGUUCAGGCACGAAAGCGUGGGGAGCAAACAGG
rnacentral:rRNA from 1 species